rnacentral:sRNA from 1 species
UACCAGCUGGGCGUGUUAGCUCCGGGUA